CGAACGAAGCUGCUUAACUGAUCUUCUUCGGAAUUGACGUUUUGUAGAUUGAGUGGCGGACGGGUGAGUAACGCGUGGGUAACCUACCCUGUACAGGGGGAUAACAGUCAGAAAUGACUGCUAAUACCGCAUAAGACCACAGCACCGCAUGGUGCAGGGGUAAAAACUCCGGUGGUACAGGAUGGACCCGCGUCUGAUUAGCUGGUUGGUGAGGUAACGGCUCACCAAGGCGACGAUCAGUAGCCGGCUUGAGAGAGUGAACGGCCACAUUGGGACUGAGACACGGCCCAAACUCCUACGGGAGGCAGCAGUGGGGAAUAUUGCACAAUGGGGGAAACCCUGAUGCAGCGACGCCGCGUGAGUGAAGAAGUAUCUCGGUAUGUAAAGCUCUAUCAGCAGGGAAGAAAAUGACGGUACCUGACUAAGAAGCCCCGGCUAACUACGUGCCAGCAGCCGCGGUAAUACGUAGGGGGCAAGCGUUAUCCGGAAUUACUGGGUGUAAAGGGUGCGUAGGUGGUAUGGCAAGUCAGAAGUGAAAACCCAGGGCUUAACUCUGGGACUGCUUUUGAAACUGUCAGACUGGAGUGCAGGAGAGGUAAGCGGAAUUCCUAGUGUAGCGGUGAAAUGCGUAGAUAUUAGGAGGAACAUCAGUGGCGAAGGCGGCUUACUGGACUGAAACUGACACUGAGGCACGAAA
rnacentral:rRNA from 1 species